rnacentral:rRNA from 1 species
CAUGGCUCAGAACGAACGCUGGCGGCAUGCCUAACACAUGCAAGUCGAACGAGGCCCUUCGGGGUUUAGUGGCGCACGGGUGCGUAACGCGUGGGAAUCUGCCCUUUGGUUCGGAAUAACAGCUGGAAACGGCUGCUAAUACCGGAUGAUGACGAGAGUCCAAAGAUUUAUCGCCAGAGGAUGAGCCCGCGUUGGAUUAGGUAGUUGGUGGGGUAAAGGCCUACCAAGCCGACGAUCCAUAGCUGGUCUGAGAGGAUGAUCAGCCACACUGGGACUGAGACACGGCCCAGACUCCUACGGGAGGCAGCAGUGGGGAAUAUUGGACAAUGGGCGCAAGCCUGAUCCAGCAAUGCCGCGUGAGUGAUGAAGGCCCUAGGGUUGUAAAGCUCUUUUACCCGGGAAGAUAAUGACUGUACCGGGAGAAUAAGCCCCGGCUAACUCCGUGCCAGCAGCCGCGGUAAUACGGAGGGGGCUAGCGUUGUUCGGAAUUACUGGGCGUAAAGCGCACGUAGGCGGCUUUGUAAGUCAGAGGUGAAAGCCUGGAGCUCAACUCCAGAACUGCCUUUGAGACUGCAUCGCUUGAAUCCAGGAGAGGUCAGUGGAAUUCCGAGUGUAGAGGUGAAAUUCGUAGAUAUUCGGAAGAACACCAGUGGCGAAGGCGGCUGACUGGACUGGUAUGACGCUGAGG